ACCCACAAUCCGGCCCCUUCUGUACGUGUAGCUAAGGCAGAGAUUACACACUUCCUUGUUGUCAUACCCAUUCAUACCGUCAGUUGGAGCUCUGACAGGCUAAAAGCAGUCAGCUGACACUCUCAGCCAAUCACAGCUGCCCAUUGCUGCUCAGGGUAAUACUUCCUUAUUAGCCAAAGCAGCACAGAGGGGAUGGACUGCCAAG
rnacentral:lncRNA from 1 species